rnacentral:lncRNA from 1 species
UUCUAUUGCAAGUGCAAUUUUUUUAGGCAAGAUGGCGGAAAUCAAUCACGCGAUUUCACGAAAAGUAGGAACUAGGUCCGUAUGCAAAUUUGUUUAGAACUUGAAUUUAUGGCCUGCGUUCCACCAAUCCACACUUGGUGGUCGUCUUCGUUUGCAGAAGGAGCAUAGCCAUAGCUAAUAACGUCGGAUUAAAAGUUAAAAACGUAACAGUUAGACGUACUUACAGACUUGAAAACGAAAUGACCUUAGGUGAAUGUUUAAAAUUGUGAGCGUUUUUAAUAGUCUACUGAAACAACAGAAACAGCAGAAACAAAUUGUCUAAAGAUUCAUGCAUGGUGAUUGUGUUUUAGCUAUUCUGUAGAAUAGAGUUGCAAUUAUUGGCAGCUUGUUUUCCAAAUGAUUUAUCAGCAGUCAAGCCGUCGUAAUUCUUAAUUAUAAGAUGACUGCUGCCCGAUCUACCAACAAGUGCAGUACCCAAGUCAUGGUGAAAGGCCGGCAACCAAUCCGGAAGACGCCAACACCAAGUCAUCAUGGAGAUCGACAGAAACGAAUGCAACAGUGUGAAAGAGUAAGGGCUAAAAUGGAGACCGUGCCGAGCUGUUGUACACAUUUUUCCCCGAGAAUUGUUCUAAGAUUAGUUGUGUCGACUGCAGUGCCCUGCUCGAGUGGCCAGUUAUAAAUCCUAGGUAGCAGACCAAGCAUAUUGACUAAAAAUCAAUCAGAUCAUAUAGAUGAACUAUCAUCAGCCCAAUAAAAAAAAUUCAAUGGACGACCGACGGCAAAGUUCGGUUCGCGCUGGAUGAAUUACGGUAUCGUCUCCAACUCGUCGACAGAUUAAAGAAAAGGCUCUUCUUAUGACCCAACGACACCUUCAUCCUUUGCCCUCACUGCUCCCACUCUAUCUCCUUGAGAGACAAGUCAAGGAAAUUGUUCACUUAGAUUCUCCCCAUUACUUGCCCCAACCCUUGUUGAUCAAGGAAUGUGUUCUGAGUGAAGUUCGUCGUAGGGUUGCUUUCCUCCCAUAGAAACUGUUGAGCUCCUGAGAGGAUCUCUUGAAGGAGAAGCCCCAGCAUCAAGACAAAGGAAUUGAGAGGUGCCGUCGCUUUGGUUUGCGUCAGCUGCGUGGUAAAAUGCGUCCCUGCAAGACUGACACCAACAGCCCAUCCCCAGCAAAGUCUACCUGCAGGAGGAAAGGCCAGUUUGUAUGUCCUUCAUUUUCGAAGGUCAUUACGUAAAACGUGUCAUGGAGUGUAAAGACCCAUCCCCAGCAAAGUCUACCUGCAAGAGGAAAGGCCAGUUUGCAUUUCCUUCACUUUCGAAGGUCACGUAGAUCAUUACGAAAAACGUGUCAUAAAUUGUCUAGAGGUUGGGUGAGAAAGGGAGUGUUUCAUAAUUAUCAAGCAGGUACAACAGCCGCAAGGCUUAAGAGGUGGAGAGAUGAAACAAAAUCGUAUAAAAGGAGAAAGAAAAGGCUACAGAAAUCAGUCGAGUGUGCAUCUCUGACACGUCAACAUCUGUUGCAGCGCACUACUUGUUACCAAUUGCCUUCUUCAUCGUGUUACCAGUUCCCAAUCAUGGGCGUCAUGCUGCUGUUGGGUGUUGUACCAUUGAUGGCUGGUUACUGUGCCCCUUGCGAGAUAUCGGCUCCCUUCAUAAAGCAUAAGCAACAACGAAGAAAUCAGUCGAGUGAUCAUCACACGGCAACAACUGCUUUCUUCGUCGUGUUAAAACAAUUCGCAAUCAUAGUUAACUAAGAUAUCGUGCUGCUGUUGUGUGUUAUAUCUAUGUUGGAUGGGACGGCCACUGGUGUACCGAUGUUUCCUGGGUAUGGCGAAUACCAAACCGCAACGCUGCCGCCUUACUAUACAACACAUACAACACGACCAAUUUCUACACCAAGGCUCCAAAGUACUACACCACCACGGCACCGGAGUACUGCACAACUACAUUUCAUGGGAGAGCAAAGGCGAAAGAAAUCAGUCGAGUGAUCAUCUCCGACACGACAACAGCAACUGCAGUGCAGUAUUAUUCACCAACUGCGUUCUUCGAAGCAUUACUAGUUUUCAAUCAUGGUAAACUAUUUCGUCGUGCUGCUGUUGGCUGUCGUAUCGUUGAUGGCUGGGUCGACCACUGGUGUACCGAUGUCUCGUAGGUAUGGUGGAUACCAAACCGCAACGCCGCUGUCUUACUACUCAACAACAACAUACGCACAACCACUAUUCACCAGAGUAUAACCCACAACUUGUGAUGCCCCGAACUACUACACCGAAGCCCCAAAAUAUAACUCUGCCCAGAGUUACACCACGAAGGGAGCGGAAUACUACACCACGAAGGGAGCGGAGUACUACACCACGAAGGGAGCGGAGUACUACACCACGAAGGGAGCGGAGUACUACACCACGAAGGGAGCGGAGUACUACACCACGAAGGGAGCGGAGUACUACACCACGAAGGGAGCGGAGUACUACACCACGAAGGGAGCGGAGUACUACACCACGAAGGGAGCGGAGUACUACACCACGAAGGGAGCGGAGUACUACACCACGAAGGGAGCGGAGUACUACACCACGAAGGGAGCGGAGUACUACACCAUCACGUAUGCUGCCCCAGCCUUUUACACCGUGGUCUUUAGUACUACACCAUAAACUACGCUUCCGCAAUUUGUUCCUUGGAGGUUCCUAAAUGCUAGAGCCGAAAUUUCCAUUUUAUUUGAUUUCGAUUGUCUUCAUGGUCAUUGGUCACUGGGAAUUAAUUGUUGAUCUUAAAUGGGAAAAUAAAAAUUCUAAUGCUGGUAA